AUAUUUACCUGGCAGGGGAGACACCAUGAUCAUGAAGGUGGUCUCCCCAUGGCAAGACUUAUCCAUUGCACUCGGCAUGUGCUGACCCCUACCGUUUCCCCAAAUGUGGGAAACUAGACUGCAUAAUUCAUGCUAGUGGGGGCCUAUGUUCAGGCCUCCCCU